UCCAGUCCCCCUGCCUUUUGUCUCCGUUUUUUUCCAGGUAACACGAGCAAUUUGCGCUGCAUUAACCAGCAAGAACCCACUGUUUCGCAGUCGCAUUUCCUUAUCAAGAUGCAGGGGCUCUCUGGCCCCCGUGAACCCCCAAAGACCCCAAUUGUGGCUCCCCUUCGACGUGGUUAAAUGUGUUUACACUCAAAGUGCAUUUGUGGGUGAGUUGUGCCACUGGCAACUAGAAUAAUUAAUAACUGGGGAGCAGGGAACACGGGUGCUGUUGAUUUGCAAUUGCAGUUGUUACCUUUGUUCCAUUCUUCUGUGUUGUCUGCACUUUGCGAGGCGUUGAAGUUGGAUUGUUUUGGUCCACUCACCUUGAGUGAGUGAGUGACUUGCACUUCCACUCAACUUCCAGCGCUUGGAACAGAAUGGGAACUGGAACCACGCCAUGUUGUUGCCACAAUUGCCUCGCUCUCACUCACUCACACUCGCAUACAAACAGCGACUUUGUGGGCGGAGCCUAGCUUUUCCCUUUGAGCCCAUGUAACGUUCGACCUUUUUUUAUUAACUUUUUUUGUACCCCAAAAAAAAGUGAAGCCAACAAUUCGUUGUUGCUGUUUAAUUACCCGACAAUUAAGCGGCCGCCACAGUUCUUCAUAAUUCAGACACAAUUAGUAAAUAAUUAACGUUGACAAUUGUCGCACACAAUUGUUAAUCUUCAUCAUCAGCCGCGUUCGGGUGCCAUCGAAAGACGAGGACUGGACACAGAUCAAUCAUAUGGGCAUCUCCGCUGUAAUUGAAACAAAUGCCCAGCUGAACACUGAAAUUAUUUCAUCAACACUAAGACUCUACGAUAAUUAGCGGGAAUAUUGUACCGAACUCAGGAUUACUUGCAACUUAUAUACAUUUUAUUUCUUUAAUAUUUGUUUAUUUUACAAAUCAUACAUUGUUAAAAAGGGCGAUGUAUAUUAUAUAUUUUGUCUGCUGCUGCUCUACAAAAUAAUCGUAAACAAGUCCAAUACACCCUGGCAAUCAAAUUAAUGGGCACAACACUUUAAAGAUCAGGAGCAGCUCUAAAGUUGCGGGAGGCACUCUCCAGAGGGUAAAACACGCACCAACUCGAAUGAGUAAAUUGUGAAUAAUUUCGUGUUGUCUCAUCAAUAUAAAUAAAAUAUUUAUUAACAAUUUGUUAAGAGCUAUAAAUCGCACUCAGCAGCAGCUUUCGGCCGAUGCGAAAGUCAAAAACAGCGAGCCGAAAAACCCGGAGGGAUGGGAGUACCAGGGCUCCCCCAGAGUUUGGGUUCAGACUGAAGACUCUCUCACCAGGACUGGGGAUCUGUGGGGUUCUGUGGGGCUAGUUGGGGAUCUGUUGGGAUAACAGGGGAGCUCUGUGGACCUGUGCCCAUCUGCGGGGGACCUCCUGUGGCGAGGGCGGCGACGGCGGCAGGCUGGGCAUAUUAAUUGUACGCUUGUUCAGCAAGCGGCGAUUGCGACCAGGUCGAAUCCAGUGCCACAGAUCGGCCAGAUCCGUACCAUAUAGGCACCCCCUUCUGGCUCCGCUAUAUCUCGGCUGUUGGUGUCUGGCCAAAUUGCUGCUAUUUAUGUUGGUAACUACCGUAUAAACUUGGCAACAACAACACGGCACACACAUGCACAUUCACCUGGGACUGCACAUGAGACAUCGGUGGAACACGGCAAACGCUGAAAUCAAUAUGUUUGCUAAUAAAUUGUCCCACAAUAUUCAUUAAAUUAAAAAAGUAACGAAAAGUGUUG